rnacentral:snRNA from 1 species
GGAUGUGAGGGUGAUCUGGCUGCGAUAUGUCACCCCAUUGAUUGCCGGUAUUGAUUUGGCUGAUCUGGCUGGCUAGGUGGGUGUCCCUUCCUUCCUCACCGCUCCAUGUGCAUCGCUCCCAAAGCUGCAUGCUCGGUCAAAGAGGAUUUGGUACAUAAAAUAGAACCGCACUCUCUAUUCCCCAAAUAGAGACAGACCAGGCUUCAGCCAAGGGUAUAUGAGUAGCUGCACUCACCUGCUAGAACCUCCAAACAAGCUAUUAUUAAUAAUACACUAAAAAUGAUCAAAAAAGAUUUCCUUAGAACAAAGUGUAUGAUGAUUGUUGUAUAUCAUCCUGGAGAAAUUAAUCCUUUGUAUAAGAGAUUAUUAACAUGUUGUU